GUUCAAACCCAUGAGCUCCGUGCCAGGAUGGGUGGUGAGGUGUGGCAGGAGGGCUUCCCCUACCAAGAAGAAGGAUGAAGUAGAUCACUGCAGCCAGCCAGCCCUGGGCCAGUUCUCAGGGGAAGCACAGCAGCCCACUCCAUGCUCUCCCUAUAGAUGACUUGCAGAACAAGGAAGGAAUGCCAGCAAAAUUCUCCAGGCUCAGCUUGCCUCAAUUGAUAAACAAAUUCUUCAGGCUUAGAGAGCCCUCACCUCAAUGCGAGGGAAAUUUCCAGAGCCUGAGUUCUCCUGAGCUCAGGAAAAUCUUCCCCUACGACAUGCCGGCUCACUACACUUAAUUUGCAUGUCGUCUUGUCAGCAGGGAGUAGAGCGGAAGAAUCACCAGCAGUGGCACCAUUGUCUCAUAAGGAUGGACACACUUUCUUUUUCUCUGCUGCUGGCUUAAAGUUGUG